rnacentral:ncRNA from 1 species
UACGGUGCGCCAGCGAUGGCGGUAAUAGGGAAUCGGGUGAAAGUCCCGAGCUGUCCCGCAGCUGUAAGUCCCGUUUUCACUACGCAACACAAGCCACUGAGGCUUCGGCUUCGGGAAGGCGCGCAAGUGGGGGAUGAGCCAGAAAACCUGCCGUGAAG